rnacentral:rRNA from 1 species
UACCAGCACCCCGAGUGGUCGGGACGUUUAUUGGGCCUAAAGCAUCCGUAGCCGGUUCUACAAGUCUUCCGUUAAAUCCACCUGCCUAACAGAUGGGCUGCGGAAGAUACUAUGGAGCUAGGAGGCGGGAGAGGCAAGCGGUACUCGAUGGGUAGGGGUAAAAUCCGUUGAUCCAUUGAAGACCACCAGUGGCGAAGGCGGCUUGCCAGAACGCGCUCGACGGUGAGGGAUGAAAGCUGGGGGAGCAAACCGG